ensembl:piRNA 21ur-6791 ncRNA
UUCAGCUUCAAAGUGCCCGUC